UACAGAGGUGGCAAGCGUUGUUCGGAAUUACUGGGCGUAAAGGGCGCGUAGGCGGCCUUCUAAGUCAGACGUGAAAUCCCCAGGCUUAACUUGGGAACUGCGUCUGAUACUGGGAGGCUUGAGUGCGGGAGAGGGAUGUGGAAUUCCAGGUGUAGCGGUGAAAUGCGUAGAUAUCUGGAGGAACACCGGUGGCGAAGGCGGCAUCCUGGACCAACACUGACGCUGAGGAGCGAAAGCCAGGGGAGCAAACGGG
rnacentral:rRNA from 1 species